ensembl:rRNA 5S_rRNA 5S ribosomal RNA
GUCUUAUGCCAUACUUCCCUGAAUGUGCCAGAUCUCUAUUGUUAUCAGAACCUAAGCAGUUUUGGGCUUCAUUAGUACUUGGAUGGGAGCCCUUGAGGGAACAAAGCGUGCUGUAGGCU